UGCAUCCCAUCGUGGCGAAACCUAGCCGUAGAACUAAACCCAUCCAAGUAUCUCACCUGGCCCAGGUUAUCUUACACACUUAGCUUCUAACCCGAAUCCGAUCUCUCUCUCCCCUUCCCUUUCCCCAAACGAGCAGACCCCUAAACCCCUCAUCCAAUAGAAUUCAACCACCCCUUUUCUUCGGCAACUCUUUCAUGCCUCUGCCGGAGAAACCCUAACCCUAAUUUUUCUGCAUGGGGAAGAAGAGAAAGCAAGUGGCGACCUCAGAAGAUCCGAAGAAAGAAGAAGAAUGGGAACCAGAGAGGCCCAAAAGGACUCUUUUAGGGUUUAAGGAUGGAGCCAUUGUCGAGAAGAAGGGCGAUCAUCCAGUGUUCAGGAACAAGGACAAGGUCCUGGUCACGUGCUCGAGAAGAAUCAUCUAAUAGGUAUCGGCAUUUGGUGUUAAAUGUUGUGUCUCUGUUGCCGCAUUGUAAGAAAGAUAGCAAAGUGGAGUCAAAGGAGAGCAAAGGGGCUACUCUUAAUGAGCUUGUUGAGCUAAGGAAUUGUUCAUAUUGUAAGUUUUUCGAGUGCACACAAUGGAAGAAUUGAAACUUACUGGAAAUCACUUAAAGGAUCACGGCCAAUUUUAACCUUCUCUUCAAAUUUUAAUAAUGAACCUCGGUGGAUGCUUUUGAAAGAAAUAAUAACUCAGCUUCGUUCUCAUCCAAAAACCGCUGGCUGUCCAUCUCUCCUUCCUCGACCCAGAGCCGCCUGACCGUCAGUCCCGCCGAUACCAACUUGACGCCGUCGCCGAUCCCGCCUGAUGCCGUCGCCGAUCCCGCCUGACGCCGUCUCCAACUCCGCCGCAGCCGUCGAAGCAGGUGACUAAUAAACUUGUUGAGUAUGUCUUCAUCGACAUCAGUGAGUGCGAAUAAAGGUAGAAGAUAAGAUCCGACUUGGAAGUACACUUCUCUAGUUGAGGAAGGGAAUUCCAACAAGCACAAGUGUAUUUAUUGUAAUAAGAUCACCAAUGGCGGCAUAUCAAGGUAAAAAGAGCAUCUUAUUGGAACGACGAGGAAACGUAAAAAUGUUUCCCUUUGCAAUAAAGUUCCUUCGAAUGUGGUUGAUGAGCUUAAGGAAUAUGACAAAAAACAAGUAAUUAUUAGAAGACAACAAGCAGGGGAGAAUUACAUGCCGGAUCUUGAAGAUGAUGACAUGGUUGAAAUAGAUGAAGUUGACGAGGUUGAAGAACAAGCACAAGCAACUAGGAACAAGGGAAAGGGUGUAUUGACUUCUACUCCUAAUUCAUCUU